ACUCCUACGGGAGGCAGCAGUGGGGAAUAUUGCACAAUGGGCGCAAGCCUGAUGCAGCGACGCCGCGUGAGGGAUGACGGCCUUCGGGUUGUAAACCUCUUUCACCAGGGACGAAGCGCAAGUGACGGUACCUGGAGAAGAAGCACCGGCCAACUACGUGCCAGCAGCCGCGGUAAUACGUAGGGUGCGAGCGUUGUCCGGAAUUACUGGGCGUAAAGAGCUCGUAGGCGGUUUGUCGCGUCGUCUGUGAAAUUCUGCAGCUUAAACUGCAGGCGUGCAGGCGAUACGGGCAGACUUGAGUACUACAGGGGAGACUGGAAUUCCUGGUGUAGCGGUGAAAUGCGCAGAUAUCAGGAGGAACACCGGUGGCGAAGGCGGGUCUCUGGGUAGUAACUGACGCUGAGGAGCGAAAGCGUGGGUAGCGAACAGGAUUAGAUACCCUGGUAGGCUCUG
rnacentral:rRNA from 1 species